UUGGCUCAGGACGAACGCUGGCGGCGUGCCUAAUACAUGCAAGUUGAGCGCUGAAGGUUGGUACUUGUACCGACUGGAUGAGCAGCGAACGGGUGAGUAACGCGUGGGGAAUCUGCCUUUGAGCGGGGGACAACAUUUGGAAACGAAUGCUAAUACCGCAUAAAAACUUUAAACACAAGUUUUAAGUUUGAAAGAUGCAAUUGCAUCACUCAAAGAUGAUCCCGCGUUGUAUUAGCUAGUUGGUGAGGUAAAGGCUCACCAAGGCGAUGAUACAUAGCCGACCUGAGAGGGUGAUCGGCCACAUUGGGACUGAGACACGGCCCAAACUCCUACGGGAGGCAGCAGUAGGAG
rnacentral:rRNA from 1 species